ACCGUUGGAUGGUAAUGAAAUUUUAGGAUGUUGUCCUAGAGGUAUAAUGUGGACCUCUGGAAGUUAUGGAUUUAAAUUCUGAGUGGCAGAUCUUCCGGAUCGAUCAACAUAGUGACGUAUUUUAUAUAAGUUAUAUAUUCUAUCGAUAUGAAUUCUGAGCCUGGAUUUGAUUACUAUUCUAGGCGGCGAUCGUCAUGACGCCUUGAUGUGUGGUGCUAGGGAGUUGUUGGACGAACUCCAGGUGAGUGGGCAGUUUUGUUUUCCGUAUAUAUAUAUAUAUACUUAACGUUUUCCCAGAAAUUGAAAAUGCAUGAAAUUAUGUUUAAAAUGAAAUGCAUAUGAGUUAUGUGGAAAAACGGGAAGUGAAAUACCAUGCAUAGAAUUGAUAUGAAAAGUAUAUAGAAAUGUGAGUUGAAAUGCCAUGCAUGAAUUAAUAUAUGAUGCAUAUGUAUGAAUUGGUGCGGUGGACGCACAGGUAAGAAUUGAUUUAUGAUGCAUAUGUAUGAAAUGGUGCGGUGGACGCACAGAUGAGUAUUUAAUUACUGUUAUGAUGAUGAUGAUAUAUAUUGAGCUCAAAUCCUGCACCAUGGUUUAGUGCUUAUAGUAUUCACCGCAUCGCACGCUCGCCUUGGAUCCAAGUAGAUGCUAGUCGUACAGUCCACGCGGAGUGGGUACGACAGACCAGUCGCGAGAGUGUUAGUGAGAUUCCGACUGGUGGGUGACCUUAGAUUAUGUGCACAGAGAUGAUUUAUGAGAGAAGCACUAGAGCGUAACUUGUGUGUGCAGAAGGCCGGACGGGUCACAUAGGUGACUCCGGUAGAGUGAUAAUGAUAGAUUUUGAGCUCUAGGUUCAACCGUAUAGGGCUAUUAGAGGGCCUACGGUUGAUUACUUUCUUGCACCUGAUAUGAUUAUGUUGAUGCAUUCAUACCUUAUUACUGUUGAGAUGAUGUGGCAUGGCAUAAUUAAUAUGAGAAAUGUUGAGAUGACAUGGCAUGGCAUGAUUGAUAAAGAGAUAAUGUUGAGAUAGUAAAAAUGAAGUUUUGAGAAUAUAUAUGUAUAUUUAUAUUUUACAUUUCUGGGAAAGUAUACAGGUUUUACGGAGAGGGGUUACAACGUUUUGAGAAAUGUUUGGAUUUGGAAAAGAAUUGUUUUUACUGACCCACUCAAUUUUGGUUUUGCGCCCCUCCAGGUUCAGGAAUCACAAAGGUGUGGUGACUACGAGGAAUUCGACGGUGUUCUGACAGAUUGGACAAAAUUAGGACUCACCUUCAGGUGUAUCAAUUUAAAUUGUAUCUUAAAGCUUCCGUACUGUGCAAAUGGUUACGUCACUCUCACGUGACGGCCAGCAUGCCCUCCUUCGGGACGGGGUGUGUCAGUUGGUAUCAGAGCAUGGUUGCAAUCUUGGACAUUUUGAGAAGUUCUAGUGAAUUCUGUCAGAACUACACCGCCUCGUAGCAAGCCACUUAGUUAGAGGAAUUUAGUCUCCCUAAUAUAACGGUUUAGGGGAAACUAUUAUUAUGGUGAUUCAGUCUAUUAUAAAAAGGGACAUUUUAAGAUGGGUUAUGAGUUGAAUUUGAAUCACUUAAGAGAAAUGAUGAACCUGAGGGAGCGAAGUAACGGUUUAACCAUUUGGAAAAGAUGUUUCGGAUUAUGCAAGUCAAAGGAAUCUUCCUUCUGACAAGGGGUCGAGAUGACUACCUGGUUUGAGUUAUGAACGUGUAUCCUGAUGGAAGCAGGAGUAUUAAUUGUUGUCACCGGAGGAACAGCCGAUUUAAAAUUGUUUAAGGACUUGUUUAAGGAAAAGUUUAUCCCUCCGGCAUUUAUCGAUGGUAGUAAACAAGAGUUUACAAAUAUGAGACAAGGAAGGUGAUGAUCGAGGGAUAUUAUAGAAAGUUUUCAGACUUGCCUUGUUCCAUCCAGAUAUUGUUGUUAUUUGGUGGAGGUGUUAUGUUGUUUUAAGCUGGGUGGCAAAAAGGGAAGUGGUAUUUUGGGUGACCACUAUCCAUUAUACUUCUUACCAGGAAUAUACGAGAUGCUGUUGAGUCUUGAGGACUCUGAGAACAUGAUCAACGAGAAUAAAGAAGAAUAAGAAAUGAAUGGGAAUUAAAAGAAGACGAUAAAGUUAAUGAUUCGUCAUAUCAAGGAGAUAGAAAGAUUCAGAGCUUCGAAAGAAGUGAAGCUAGAGUUAAUUCUUCCCAGCUGAGGUUUUAAUGUCGCUGGUCAGAGUAAAAGUGAUGGAAUAUACUGGUAAUCCCAGAUAUUUGAGACAAAGGUGUCUCGAGUAAAGGAAAUGUACUUUGUGCAGCAGGUACAAAAUUAAUUAACACUUUGGGAAGUGUGUGAAAUUAAUGAAUGUGUUUAUGUGAACAGAGGGGACACAGAAUUGUGAAUCGUCCCUAGAAUCAGUUGUACCCAACAGUUUUCUAUGACAUCGUAGUGUCGAUUCAGCAAGUUUAUGAACUUAGUAGUUUGGUCGGAUUGACCGUGGGUACAGAGAGAUUUGAUGAGUUAUAUGUUCAGCCGUACAGACCAUGAGAAGUGGAUUCGAUUGACACAUGAGAAAUUGGUGAGUUAUAGGCUCGGCCGUACCGACCACGCGGAGUGGAUCCGGCCGACGUAUUAUUGAGAUAAGAGUUGAAUAAGCCGUAUUGGUCAUUCUAGUUGACUUCGGCUGAUAUAUUAUUAUGUAUGUUAUUACCUAGAGAGUAGUAAAUAAAUGUAGUAGAGACGAGUGUAUGUAUUUUGUAUUGAGUGACAAAAUAGUAAUGUUAUAUCUUUGAGAGUGGUUGCCUACUUAUCGAGACAACGAUGAUUUAUCAGUAUUGCGGGCUGCAGACCGUAAUAUUAAUAACUCAUUCGUGGAUUCGUUAAGCAAGCAAACCGGUAGAUUAUUUUAUGUUAGAAUGUUCAGUAAUAAUAAAGUAUGUAUUGGGUCAGUUAAUUUUAUUCCAUUAGAUUGAUUGUUUAUAGUUGUGACAAGACGGAAUGUUACGGGAAACCAGUACUUUCCAUCGAUCUGGAUGAUCAGAGGUUAUCUUAAUGAGUGGGCAUACAAAGUGAAGUGAGUUCAGCCAUUAUUUAUGCUGUGAAAGCAAAUAGAUUGUUUUGAAAGGCUGCCCAAAAAUACUUAGCUCAUGUGGUGCUAAAUGAUGUUGUUUGGAGUAGUGUGACUAAUGUCGAAAGAGUUAGACUUUUCUUGAUGUCUUCCUUGAAAGUAUACCUGGAUUGCCUUCAGGCAGAGAUAUGAGGUUCACUAUUGAAUUGUUGCCAGGUAUAAAUUUAUGUUAAAGAUUGGUUCAGGAUGAGUUAAGGGAAUUGGAAAUUCAGUUGAGAGAAUUGGUUGAUAAAAGUUUUAUUCAACCUAGUACAACACUUUUGAGGAACCCCAGUUCGUUGGUGAGGAAGAAAAUGGAUUUUAAGGCUAUCCAUUGAUUAUAGAUAAUGGAAUCGGGUAACGAAUGAGAACCGUUAUCCAUUGUGGUGUAUUGACGCUCAUUUGAUCAGUUCAAAGGUGCUUGUAUAUUUUCAAAGAUUGACUUGAAGUUUGGUUAUUACCAAUUAAAGAUUAUGAAUGACGUUGAUCAUAAGAUGGUUUUCUGGACUUGUUAUAGUCUUUAUGAAGUUUGGUGAUGCUAUAUGGAUACUCAUGCUGUUUUAUGAGUUGAUGGAUGAAGUAUUCCAAUAAUGCCUUGAUAGAUUGAUAUCAUUUUUCAUUGACGAUAUUCUGGUAUACUCUAAGCCAGAGCAGAGCAUGUAAAUGUAUUAAGUCGAUGAAGCAAAGAUUGAGAGAACGUUGGUUGUAUGCUAAGUUUAGCAAAGGCUAAAGUUAAAUGAAUCAAGUGACAUUCUGAGAAUUGUUAUAUAUUCUUAAGGUAUUCAAGUGAAUCCUUAAAAGAUAGCAGAAAUUGAGAAUUUGGAACAACCACGAGUCGUAAUUGAGAUUUGGAAUUUCUUAACUUACCAGGCUAUCUUGGAUGGUUGUGAAAAAUUUUUUAGUCAUUGCUUUGUCAUUGACGAGACUGUUGAGAAAGGAGGUUAUGUAUGAGUGGGAAGGAAAUUGUGAGCAAAGGAUUCAACAACUGAAGUAUUUCCUCACUCAUGCACGUAUUUUAGUAAUCCUAGAAGAUAGUGGUAAUCAUAAAUUUUAGUGAUGUUUCUUGAAUGGUAUUGGAGGCAUGUUGAUGCAAAUGUUAGGGUGAUUGUAUAUGUUUCACGACAAAUGGAACCUCAUGAGAUGAAUUACCCUACUGGUGAUUUGGAAGUCACGAUUAUCAUCCUUGCUGUGAAGUUAUGGAGACAUUAUAUGUUGAUAAGAAUGCAAGAUUUUACAAAUCAAAAGAGUCUCCAAUAUUUGUUUACUCGGAAGGAUUUUGAUAUGAGGCAACAAAGGUGGAUUGAAUUACUUAGUGAUUAUGAUUGUACGAUCAGGGUGAUCGUGAAUUGUUGUAGCUGAAGCACUUGAUGAGAAGACUCCAGUAAGAAUUAAUGCUUGGUACGCUUGCCAAGAUUAUCUUAUUGUGGAUUGGAAAUCAACUGAAGUAAAGUUGAGAAUUGGAGAUCGAGAAGAAGCUCUACUUGCUAAUUUUCAAGUUAGGCAUUUUUGGUAAGGUCGUACUCGAGACUCAAAUGCUUGACGAAGAAAUUUAAGAAUUAACCAAGGCAGAGAAAGAAGGGAAAAAGAAUGAGUACAUGAUUCGUGAAUCAAAUGGUAUGUGGAUACAAGAAAACAAAAAGUAUGUGCCUAAUGCUGAGGAUUUGAAGCAAGCAAAUAUUGGACGAAGUUCACUGUUCAACUUCUGCAAUAUUCCAAAAGUAAUAAGAUUUAUCAUACCAUUCGACAGUUUUAUUUGGUCAGCAGAUUGAGGCAGAAAGAGAUAAACCUUUGGAUUGAGAUAAUUAUUUUCUGUUUCGCAGUGGAAAUGGAAAGAUAUUACUUUGGAUUAUGUGUACAAGCUUCCUUGUACACAAAGAUGGUUAUGAUCGAAUUUGAAGUGAUAGUUGGUCAAUGUACCAAGUUAGUACAAUUACUCCAGUGCUGAGUAAUAACUUUUUCCCAGUCAGGGCAACGGUACUUAAUGUAUUUUGUGUUCGAUGCGUUGUCGCUAGGUGGCAGAGUCGUCACAUGAGAUUCUAGUGCAACUAUUGAGAAUUAAAUUGGAUUCGACUUGAUAAGGAACCAAGGACGACUUUGGAUUGGAAAAAAGAAGGUCCUGAGAAUUAAGACAGAGUAAGUGGUAAAAGCUUUGUGAAGGAAAUCAUUCAGUAGAAAAUUAUGUGGGAGAAAGAGAAUCGGAUGAGAGAGAUUUACCCGAAGCUAUUGUUGGAGUAUGGUUGAUUUAGUUGGUUGCUGGAAUUUCGAGGACGAAAUUCUAUAAGGAGGGGAGAUUGUCACAGCCCGUUCCAAAAUAUUACAUUCGUGGCUGUGAAUGGACGAAAUUGCCCUUAAGAAAUACUAAGUAUGUGAAGCUCAAGUUGAUAAUUAUCUAGGUUCCUAAGUUUUGAAAAUAAAAUGGAAUUUAAUAAGGAUGGAACUUAGAUUUUUAGGUUAAAAAUUUUGUGGUUUAGAGUUGGGGAUUGGAAAAGGACCACGUGGGAUCCCCAUUCCUUAUUUCCCUCCCCAUUUCCCGUAUACUGUCCUUCAUACUCUCUUUCUCUUCCUCAGACCUCACUCUCUCUCUCUCACCCUCUCGAACACACGGGCAACCAUCAAAAACCACCUAAAACUAUUACCAACGCCGGAUUUAAAACCACCAUUGCACUCCUGAGGACUCCACGAUCACGUAGGUACCAGUUUAAGGUAAGUUUCACUUCGAAAACCCUAGUUUCUAAAGUUGCCGUGAAUGUGUACUGUUCAUGAGCUUUGAAUUGGUUGAUUUUUAGGACAAUCCAAGCUCAUAGUGAGCUUAGUGAGGUCCCAAGGAAGCUCGGAGUGCUUCGUUGGAAGGAUUUGGACGUCGGGAUCACGAGGGUUAAGUUUGGCCGGUUUUGCUUGGAUUUUUCCGGUGAGAUUUAGUUGUUUUUGAAGCUUAAAAGUAGUAUAUUGUGAUUCUAAAUGUUGAGGGCUUUAAAUUGAUAUAUUAUACGAAGAAAAUGGUUGAGAAACGAAGGAGAACGAAGCAUUUGAAAAUUCCCCAGUUUUCCGGCCACCGGAAAAACCAGUCCGGCGAACCCGCGAGGAAGAAGGUGCGCGUGGGCGCGCGUGGACCCGUGCCUUCCUUGGCGCGUGGGGGCGCGUGCUACAGUAAAAAAUUAUUUUAAAAUAUGUCGACGUCCGUGACGUCGAGUAGAUCACUGUGGUAUAUUCAUAUACCUAAAUUGAACACCGUAUGAGAAAGUUAUUGAAGAUUGUUGGUUAGGUGUUCAAAUAACGUUUUAUAGUUUUCACAUUUAGGUGAAAAUGUGAAUUGAUGAUCCGACCGUUGGAUCGUCACCAAACUUUGAUACGUUGUAAUACGUAAUAUUUGAGGAUUAUUGGAACUUACGGAUUGGGAAUCCGAGUUACGGAUCUUCCGGAAUUGGAAUUGUAAGUCCAUAAUAUAAAAUGUUAACCGUCACUUAGUUUUGGAAAUUGACGGAGAUCCGACCGUUGGAUGGUAAUGAAAUUUUAGGAUGUUGUCCUAGAGGUAUAAUGUGGACCUCUGGAAGUUAUGGAUUUAAAUUCUGAGUGGCAGAUCUUCCGGAUCGAUCAACAUAGUGACGUAUUUUAUAUAAGUUAUAUAUUCUAUCGAUAUGAAUUCUGAGCCUGGAUUUGAUUACUAUUCUAGGCGGCGAUCGUCAUGACGCCUUGAUGUGUGGUGCUAGGGAGUUGUUGGACGAACUCCAGGUGAGUGGGCAGUUUUGUUUUCCGUAUAUAUAUAUACUUAACGUUUUCCCAGAAAUUGAAAAUGCAUGAAAUUAUGUUUAAAAUGAAAUGCAUAUGAGUUAUGUGGAAAAACGGGAAGUGAAAUACCAUGCAUAGAAUUGAUAUGAAAAGUAUAUAUAGAAAUGUGAGUUGAAAUGCCAUGCAUGAAUUAAUAUAUGAUGCAUAUGUAUGAAUUGGUGCGGUGGACGCACAG
rnacentral:lncRNA from 1 species